GAUGAGAAGCUUCGACUAAGGUUCGAUUCGAGCGCAGCGAGAAAGCGUUGCCGCAGGCAACGACCCGAAGGGCGAAGCGCGCAGCGCUGAGUCAUCCUUCCCCCACCACCA
rnacentral:sRNA from 4 species